UGUUUCUUCUUGCAGACAUUCAGUGGUGUAAUGGUUGCAGGAUGACCAAUUUCAUCUACCCUUCAAGCAGCAACACAAGAAACUUUUUGCAAACCACUCAGCAACAAUUUUGCAAACCACACUCAACUUUUUGAGUCCAAAAAGCUUCAAAAACCCACUUCUUGUUUACCCGAGAAGUUGUGCUGAGAAUAUAAAGACUAAACAUCACUAUCCUAGUCCCUUUAUUAAUCUGGGGUUGCCACAAUGGAACGGACCACCAACUUAUCCAGCAUAUGUUUUACGCAGCGGAUGCCCUUCCGCCUGCAACCCAUUACUGGGAAACACUCAUUCACACUCAUUCACAGACAUACACUACGGUCAAUUUUAGCUUACCCAAUUCACCUGUACCGUAUGUCUUUGGACUUGUGGGGGAAACCAGAGCACCCGGAGGAAAAACCCAAACAAACGCAGGGAGAACAUUCACACUCCAAAAAGAAAAUGCCAACUGACCCAACCAAGGCUCGAACCAGCGACUUUCUUGCUGUGAGACGACUACCUACUGCCCUACCGUGUCGCCGUAACUAAAAUUACUAAAUGUAAAAUAAAUAAAGCACAUAGGCAUAAAUCUAUGAUUAAAUAAAAAAAUUUGAUUGAAUUAA